rnacentral:rRNA from 1 species
UACGUAGGGUGCGAGCGUUAAUCGGAAUUACUGGGCGUAAAGCGUGCGCAGGCGGUUCGUUAAGUCAGAUGUGAAAGCCCCGGGCUCAACCUGGGAACUGCAUUUGAAACUGGCGGGCUUGAGUGUGGCAGAGGGGGGUGGAAUUCCAGGUGUAGCAGUGAAAUGCGUAGAUAUCUGGAGGAACACCGAUGGCGAAGGCAGCCCCCUGGGCUAACACUGACGCUGAUGCACGAAAGCGUGGGGAGCAAACAGG